GAGGCGCAGAGCACCCGCAGAGCACCCGCAGGGCUGGCCUAGCGAACUGGAAAAACCCGGGUAUCCGUUCUGCUUCCAGCCUCUCAAGUAUCUGGACUGCAGUAGUCUGUCCUAUGGAGAGAUGUCCGUUGAAUGAACCACCUAUCUACCAUCAGAAGCAACAGCUAUUUUAAGUGGCAAUUAAGGCUUGUCUGCCUCUCAAGUGCUUCUGAGAAGGCAGACAUCAGACUCAGAGCUGGAAAAUAUGCAGGUAGAGUGUGGGGCAUUUUUAUUCCUUUCUCCUGUGCCCUCUCACACAGCUCAACUGGUCUCUGAGAGUAGCUUAUUGUGAAUAAAUAAAGACACCAUGGUGAAGGGAGAAGAGUCCUGGGUCUUCCCACUGCCAGUCCAGAGCCUCACAGUAUUGCUACAUUGGUAUAGUUUAAACAUGUUCCCCAAAAUGCAUCUGCUAGAGCUAAAUCCUGUGUGUUGAUGGUGUUGGGAGGUGGUGUCUUUGGGAGAUAAUAAGAACUAGACCAGGUUACAAGGAUGGGACCCCCAUGAUGGCAUUCGUGUUAUCACAGGAAGGAGAAGAGAUACUCUACCUAGCAACAGUCUCAGCCUGGCUGUGUGAUACCCUCUACCAUGGUAGAAUACGUGAGUAAAUGAGGAAGCUCUGACCAGAUGCAGAUCAGAAGCCAGCCCCAUACCCUUGGAAUGCCCAUCAAGUAACCUCCUGUUCUUUAUAAAGUCCACAGUCUACGUGUUUGUUUUAUGCCAACACAGAACAGACUAAAACCCCUAUAAAGAACGCUGGUUACACCAUCCAGUCCACUCCAGCACCCUGAGAGGAGUCGCCUU